UACGAAGGGUGCAAACGUUGCUCGGAAUUAUUGGGCGUAAAGCGCACGUAGGCGGCUUAGCAAGUCGGAUGUGAAAUCCCUCGGCUCAACCAAGGAAGUGCAUCCGAAACUGCUGAGCUUGAGUACGAAAGAGGAUCGCGGAAUUCCCGGUGUAGAGGUGAAAUUCGUAGAUAUUCGCAAGAACACCAGUGGCGAAGGCGGCUGACUGGUCCGGUUCUGACGCUGAGGCGCGAAAGCGUGGGGAGCAAACAGG
rnacentral:rRNA from 1 species